rnacentral:snRNA from 1 species
GCACGCGCCUAACGGCGUGCCU